rnacentral:rRNA from 1 species
UACGAAGGUGGCAAGCGUUGUUCGGAUUUACUGGGCGUAAAGGGAGCGUAGGUGGUUAGGUAAGCCCUCCGGGAAAUCUUCAGGCUUAACCUGAAAAGGUCGGGGGGGACUGCCUAGCUAGAGGGCGGGAGAGGAGCGCGGAAUUCCCGGUGUAGCGGUGAAAUGCGUAGAGAUCGGGAGGAAGGCCGGUGGCGAAGGCGGUCUGCUGGGGUAAUGCUGACACUGAUGCGCGACAGCGUGGGGAGCAAACAGG